rnacentral:lncRNA from 1 species
GGGGCACCGCAUCCACAUGGCAUGACAGCUUCAGGUCCUGACCGAGUUGAAUGUUCUCGCUUUCUUUGAUCAUGUCGGGGGUGAUCUGGAAUGUGGCGUUCUUCAGGGCUGCAAGGAGAUGGGGUUCGAAGAAGGCUGGAGCUGACCCAAGGACAGGUCCUGCCCUCUGUUCUACCGAGGUUCUGUGUGGCCAAUAGACUUCAGCAGGGGAGAGCCUAGACUAGGAUAGGAAACUGAUUUCCAUCACAGCCUUGAAGAGGAGAAAGCCCUGCUCCCCUGCCCUAAGCACUCCUGUGGAGAGGAGCCUAGGAGAGGCUGCAGCCUCAGGCCAUCAGCAACCACGUCUCUCUGAAGAGUUCUCCAGCACUCCUCCUCCUGGGAUGACUGACACCCAACUGCAGCCUUUUGAGAGAGCCUGCAUGAGAGUCUGCCGGCUGCUGGAUUCCUGCCACUGGCACUGGGAGACAAGAAGUGUUCCGGGACUCAGCCCCUGCAUUUUGAAGUAUUUGCCAGUCAACAAUAACUAAUAUAGCAUAAUGCCUACUUUGCAAGUUAUGAGGCUUAGGGAGCGAAGCACUUAAAUGUGGUGCCUCAAACGCAUUAGUCAGUCAACAGUUUCUAUUAUUAAUAGUGAUCUCGGUAAGUGACCAUGCUCUGAGGAGUCACCUUAAUUUGUCUAUGUGGAUUUUAACAUGCUAUUCAAAACUUG